rnacentral:rRNA from 1 species
GCNNNGCCUANGGAUGAACGCUGGCGGCGUGCCUAACACAUGCAAGUCGAGCGAUCUUCUUCGGAAGAGAGCGGCGGACGGGUGAGUAACGCGUGGGUAACCUGCCCUGUACACACGGAUAACAUACCGAAAGGUAUGCUAAUACGGGAUAAUAUACUUUUAUCGCAUGGUAGAAGUAUCAAAGCUCCGGCGGUACAGGAUGGACCCGCGUCUGAUUAGCUAGUUGGUAAGGUAACGGCUUACCAAGGCGACGAUCAGUAGCCGACCUGAGAGGGUGAUCGGCCACAUUGGAACUGAGACACGGUCCAAACUCCUACGGGAGGCAGCAGUGGGGAAUAUUGCACAAUGGGCGAAAGCCUGAUGCAGCAACGCCCCGUGAGCGAUGAAGGCCUUCCGGUCCUAAAGCUCUGUCCUCCGGAAGAAAAUGACGGUACCUGAGGGGGAAGCCACGGCUAACUACCUGGCAACCGCCGCGGUAAUUCGUAGGUGGCGAGCGUUAUCCGGAUUUACCGGCGUAAAGGAUGGGUAGGUGGAAUUUUUAAUGGGGAUGUGAAAUACCCCGGGCUCCAACCUGGGAACUGCAUUCCCAACUGGGAAUUCUAUAAGUGCCGGAGAAAGAAAGCGGAAAUUUCCUAUGUAGCGGUGAAAUGUCGUCAGAUUUNGAAAAAACACCCAUGGCGAAGGCCGGUUUUUUGGACUGUAACUGACAACUGAAGCAUGAAAACCUGGGGGAGCCAAACAGGAAUAAAAUACCCCGGGAGUCCACCCCCCCAACCAAGGGGGACUCGGGGUAGGGGGUUUUGAAUACCCCGUGCCCCCCUAAAACCAAUAAGAACCCCCCCUGGGGAGGACGGUCGCANACUAAACAUCAAAGAAUUGCGGGGGCCCGCCCAACUAACGCGAACAUGGGGUUUAAUUUUAAAAAUACCCAAGAAACUUUAUUAU